GUGGCGGACGGGUGAGGAAUACAUCGGAAUCUACCUUCUGGUGGGGGAUAACCAGCCGAAAGGCUGGCUAAUACCGCAUGAGACCGAGAGGUGAAAGCGGGGGACCGAAAGGCCUCGCGCGAGAAGAUGAGCCGAUGUCCGAUUAGCUAGUUGGCGGGGUAAGAGCCCACCAAGGCGACGAUCGGUAGCUGGUCUGAGAGGAUGAUCAGCCACAUUGGGACUGAGACACGGCCCAAACUCCUACGGGAGGCAGCAGUGGGGAAUCUUGCGCAAUGGGCGAAAGCCUGACGCAGCCAUGCCGCGUGAAUGAUGAAGGUCUUAGGAUUGUAAAAUUCUUUCACCGGGGACGAUAAUGACGGUACCCGGAGAAGAAGCCCCGGCUAACUUCGUGCCAGCAGCCGCGGUAAUACGAAGGGGGCUAGCGUUGUUCGGAAUCACUGGGCGUAAAGGGAGCGUAGGCGGACAUUUAAGUCAGGGGUGAAAUCCCGGGGCUCAACCUCGGAACUGCCUUUGAUACUGGGUGUCUUGAGUGUGAUAGAGGUAUGUGGAACUCCGAGUGUAGAGGUGAAAUUCGUAGAUAUUCGGAAGAACACCAGUGGCGAAGGCGACAUACUGGAUCAUUACUGACGCUGAGGCUCGAAAGCGUGGGGAGCAAACAGGAUUAGAUACCCUGGUAGUCCAC
rnacentral:rRNA from 1 species